rnacentral:rRNA from 1 species
GUAGGUGGCAAGCGUUGUCCGGAAUUAUUGGGCGUAAAGCGCGCGCAGGUCGGUUUUUAAGUCUGAUGUGAAAGCCCACGGGCUCAACCGUGGAGGGUCAUUGGAAACUGGAGAACUUGAGUACAGAAGAGGAAAGCGGAAUUCCACGUGUAGCGGUGAAAUGCGUAGAGAUGUGGAGGAACACCAGUGGCGAAGGCGGCUUUCUGGUCUGUAACUGACGCUGAGGCGCGAAAGCGUGGGGAGCAAACAGGAUUAGAUACCCUGGUAGUCCACGCCGUAAACGAUGAGUGCUAAGUGUUAGGGGGUUUCCGCCCCUUAGUGCUGCAGCUAACGCAUUAAGCACUCCGCCUGGGGAGUACGGCCGCAAAGGCUGA